AGUGAACGCUGGCGGCAGGCCUAAUACAUGCAAGUCGAACGGCAGCACAGCAGAGCUUGCUCUGUGGGUGGCGAGUGGCGGACGGGUGAGGAAUACAUGGGAAUCUGCCCAGUCGUGGGGGAUAACGUAGGGAAACUUACGCUAAUACCGCAUGCGCCCUUCGGGGAAAGCCGGGGACCUUCGGGCCUGGCGCGAUUGGAUGAGCCCAUGUCGGAUUAGCUAGUUGGCGGGGUAAUGGCCCACCAAGGCGACGAUCCGUAGCUGGUCUGAGAGGAUGAUCAGCCACACUGGAACUGAGACACGGUCCAGACUCCUACGGGAGGCAGCAGUAGGGAAUAUUGGACAAUGGGCGCAAGCCUGAUCCAGCCAUGCCGCGUGAGUGAAGAAGGCCCUCGGGUUGUAAAGCUCUUUUGUCCGGAAAGAAAAGCGCCGGGUUAAUACCCUGGUGUCCUGACGGUACCGGAAGAAUAAGCACCGGCUAACUCGUGCCAGCAGCGCGGUAA
rnacentral:rRNA from 1 species